AUGGAAGAUGAUCUCGGUUCCAUUUUGCUGGGCCCCUUUGGGAAUCCGAGUUAAUGAUAAACAGGGACUGUCGGGGGCAUCCGUACUACGACGCGAGAGGUGAAAUUCAGUGACCGUCGUAGGACGAACAACAGCGAAAGCAUUUGCCAAGAAUGUCUUCGUUGAUCAAGAACGAAAGUUAGAGGAUCGAAGGCGAUCAGAUACCGCCCUAGUUCUAACCCUAAACGAUGCUGACCAGCUAUUCGUUAGCGUUAUUCCCAUGACGUGGCGAGACGCCCCCGGGAAACCUCGAGUCUUUGAGUUCCGGGGGUAGUAUGGUUGCAAAACUGAAACUUAAAGGAAUUGACGGAAGGGCACCACCAGGAGUGGAGCCUGCGGCUUAAUUUGACUCAACACGGGAAACCUCACCAGGCCCGGACACCAGAAGGAUUGACAGAUUAAGAGCUCUUUCUCAAUUUGGUGGGUGGUGGUGCAUGGCCGUUCUUAGUUGGUGGAGUGAUUUGUCUGGUUAAUUCCGGUAACGAACGAGACUCUGGCCUACUAACUAGUGGGCGGGUGUUCCGGUAAGGGGCCCCGCCCGACAAAUGUCUUCUUAGAGGGAUGAGCAGCGAGUAUAGCUGCAGGAGAUUGAGCAAUAACAGGUCUGUGAUGCCCUUAGAA
rnacentral:rRNA from 1 species